UGCGGGCCCGAGGGUCCAUAGAUGACACAUCAGUCGGUAGGCAUUUAUUCUACUGUUCAAGGAAAACAAAUAAGGGUGCAGCUUAGGCAAAAAGAAAAACAUAUUAUUGCCAGUGUCUAAACUCCUAACAACGGAAUGUGUCUGAGACCGUGUGUAUGGAUACAUGUGUACUUAAAACAGCUCCGCCGG
rfam:Vicugna pacos cont1.275126, whole genome shotgun sequence.